CUCGGGCUCUCUUGCCCGGCCUCUUGGCGGAGGACGCGCACCUCUCCUCCGCCAGACAUUGCGGAGGGCUGUUCGGAGGGGAUGAAGAGCCCCUGAACGCGGCCCCGCCCCUCCGCAGCAGCACGAGCGGCUUCAGCGGUCCCAUCCGCUUCUUGAUUGGUCGUUAUGGUUUACAGACACGCCCCCUCCUACUGUGUAGACUGCCGCACAUUGACGCAAACCCCUCCCGUUUCUAUUGUUGACUGGUUUUCAUUUCCAACCUGCAUCAAGCAUCACAGGAACCAUGUUGCAGUCUGGGGACACUGAAGCCCUAGGUUGUUCUUGUUCGAGUAUGCUAAGUAGGAAAUAUCCAGUGCCAGAGGGAGGCAGACGACAAUGUUCAUUCAGCAUUGACCGGUGAUGCCACCUGUCGAUAAUCCGGCAGCAGCUGAGAUGUAGCCUGCUGCACAUGAAUCAGCACUAAGAGGGCUAUUCUUGGGUACUACAAGAGAUUACUGUACCUCGUCAAAUAUUUAUCACCGAACCACAAUUAAGAGUAUCAAGACUGAGGUGCACGGAGGAAUAAAAUGAUCAAAUGCAUAAAAGAAAUAGGUCUAAACGUCCCUCUGCCUGAUCUUCAAAGUUGGUUUGAAAGAAAUUAAAGCACAGCUGGUCCAACUACGAACGCAGACGUCACGUCCCAGGUGAUAUUUCUGGGAAUCUGAGUGGUGUCAAAAGGAGUUUUCAGACUAUCACAGACACAUUUCUUCUCAUUUGAUUCUGAUAUUUAUUUGAUCUCGACUAUAAAAGUGUAACGUUUUAAUCUGACAUUACACGGACAAAACAUUAAAUUGAUGGCUUAAAAUCACUGAACAUGUCUACAUGCAGUUUUAAUGCGGGCCAUCUUAGACAAAGCCCUGUGUGACUUUGUAUGUUAACUGAUUGUUACAGCGCGUUGAUUUACUGUAUUUCAGACGCAGGUAUGAUUUGGUGAAUGACGUACCGGCUAUGUACAUGUGCUAACAAAGAUAAAUAUCAAUAUACCACGCCCAUAUAAAAACACCAAUAGCGCCUCCUUGUGGCCAGGGAGACCAGG